GCUUUCACUUAUAGGAAUCAAGCAAGACUAUUCAAAUAGAAGCUUUCCGUGUUUUCAAGCUGUUUGUUGCAAACCAAAAGAAGCCCUCAGACAUCAUCAACGGUCUGGUGGCAAACAGAAACAAGCUUCUAAGAUUGUUGGCUGAUCACAAACUUGACAAAGAGGACGAGAACUUUGAAGCAGAUAAAGCUCAUGUGGUGAGCGGGAUCGCAAGCCUUAAGCCCGGAGAUCUUGCUUGAGCACGCACAUGUACACA